rnacentral:rRNA from 1 species
UCGGGAAUUUUGUGCAAUGGGCGAAAGCCUGACACAGCAAUGCCGCGUGAGUGAUGAAGGCCUUAGGGUUGUAAAGCUCUUUUACCAGGGAUGAUAAUGACAGUACCUGGAGAAUAAGCUCCGGCUAACUCCGUGCCAGCAGCCGCGGUAAUACGGAGGGAGCUAGCGUUGUUCGGAAUUACUGGGCGUAAAGCGUACGUAGGCGGUGACUCAAGUCAGAGGUGAAAGCCUGGAGCUCAACUCCAGAACUGCCUUUGAAACUAGGUCGCUAGAAUCACGGAGAGGUGAGUGGAAUUCCGAGUGUAGAGGUGAAAUUCGUAGAUAUUCGGAAGAACACCAGUGGCGAAGGCGGCUCACUGGACGUGUAUUGACGCUGAGGUACGAAAGCGUGGGGAGCAAACAGGAUUAGAUACCCAUGUAGUCCCUGAGCGGGCUGGCAAGGCGCAU